GAUAAAAGUCUAUAGCCUUUGAUCAGUCUUGAGGAAGAAAGUCUUAUUGUAUCUUAUUCCUCCACAGAGUAAUGAUAAGAAUUAAAUAGAAAGCAUUAUCCCCAUUUUACAGGUUCCUCUUCACUUCUUGAAGAUGGGAAGUCCUAAUCUGGCUAACUGAUCUAGUCGAUAAUGAGCACCCAAUGCUGAAUAGGGGACUCAGGUGGGAAGUCAUCUACAAAACCACAGGCAUUCCAUCAUCUCACAUCAUCACAAGAAGAUGGGCUCAUAGAAAUUUGCGAGGACUCGGAGAACUGGAUUGCUAUAACAUCUUUCUAAGAUCUGCUUCAGGCAAUGCAUUUCAGCAAAGAACAAGCCAUGGAAGAUCGCAGGUAUCUGAAAUCACAGGAGACAGUGCCAGAGGUGGACAUGGAAAAAGGAGACAGUGGGCACCUGCACGUGAAUGAAGAGACCUGACUGUGGAAUGUUCAAGAAGUUUAUUAAAGAAUUGGACAGUAUUCCUCAUGGUCUUUGUGAAGCCUUCGACUUACUAACUGCCAGUGCAAUGUGGUAUUACAAAGAUAAUAGCCUUUAUCAGAAGUUCAGCUUUCUAUUCCUACCUUAAAAAGCAGUAGCUUAAUAAACUUGA